AUACCCUGGAGUACUUGACGUUACCUGCAGAAGAAGCACCGGCUAAUUUCGUGCCAGCAGCCGCGGUAAUACGAAAGGUGCAAGCGUUAAUCGGAAUUACUGGGCGUAAAGCGCGCGUAGGCGGUGUGUUAAGUCGGAUGUGAAAGCCCAGGGCUCAACCUUGGAAUUGCAUCCGAUACUGGCACGCUAGAGUGCAGUAGAGGGAGGUGGAAUUUCCGGUGUAGCGGUGAAAUGCGUAGAGAUCGGAAGGAACACCAGUGGCGAAGGCGGCCUCCUGGACUGACACUGACGCUGAGGUGCGAAAGCGUGGGGAGCAAAUAGGAUUAGAUACCCUGGUAGUCCACGCUGUAAACGAUGUCUACUAGCCGUCGGGGUCCUUAGUGACUUUGGUGGCGCAGCUAACGCGAUAAGUAGACCGCCUGG
rnacentral:rRNA from 1 species